ACUUAAGUAGUUUAAAAAUUAAAAUAUUGAUUUGUGGUGUCAGUGAUAUAUUUAUUAUCUUAGGUU
rnacentral:tRNA from 1 species